ACAAUACAAGCUGCCCUUAAACAUCUUCAUUUCAGUGAGGGGAUUCAGCAGCCAAUCUUAUGUGGUGGUUUAAGGCAAGUCAUUGUCUCUCAGCCCAAACCAUAUCAUAGGAGCUGUGAGAAUAAAAAAAUAAGCAUUGUAAAGCAUCUUGUACAAUAAAAAUCAACACAGAAAACAUUAUCUAUCUAUCUAUCUAUCUAUCUAUCUAUCUAUCAUCAUCUAUCUAUCUAUCUAUCUAUUUCAGAUUUGCAUCCCAUCCUUUCUCCGAAGAGCACAAGGUGACUUACAUAGGGGUUAUCUGUAUUUCAUCGUCCUCUUAGGCAGUUUAGAGCUUGUUCACACAUUAUACUGAACACCGAUAACAAGCUGUCUCUACACAUGUACAAAUGCUUGUGUGGAAGAGUGUACACUCUUUGACCUGUUCAGUUGAACUGUUGUGUACACAGGUACAGAGAGUACCACCCAUUAAACAUUACAUGUGAAUUACUAUAUGUGUGUACAACUUAAUUGUUUGUGCACAUAGUCCAUACCAUCAUCUAAUGUAACUUGUGAACAUCCCCUUAGACUAAAAGGUGUGUCCUAGACACAUUUGGUCAAAGUUGCUCUCUCCAUCCAACAUGGCUACACCAUCACAAUGGCUUCAUGUUAGCCUGAUCAUGUGCCCUACUUAACAGAGACUUUGUUUCAAGGGCUGUUUGAACGAAGUCUGGUGUAAAGAGAAAGAAAGGAGAGAAGGGACUUGGAGUUUCACAUCAACAGCAUCUAGGAAGCAAACUAAGCAAGCACACUGGUCCCAUGGCCACAGCCUAUUUCAUUAUGAUGAGUUCUGCUGUAUACCAGGCAUAGGAAAACUCGGCCCUCCAGAUGUUUUGGGACUACAAUUCCCAUCAUCCCUGACCACUGGUCUUGUUAGCUAGGGAUGGUGGGAGUUAUAGUCCCAAAACAUCUGGAGGGCCGAGUUUGCCUAUGCCUGCUGUAUACUCUUUCACCCUCUUUCUUUGGUGAUUGAUUUCUUCUUUGGAGCAAUGUGCAAGCGGCAACCCUGAUAACAUGAGUAAUUAUGCUUUCAUAAUGAGCCCAAAGUGCACAAGCAUGAUCUGUACCAGGCUAGGGAACCAGCAGCCCUCAAGAUGUUGCUUUUCUCAAACUCUCAUCAGCCCCAGGCAGCAUGGCUGAUGGUCAGUGAUGAUAGGAGCUGUAGUUCAACAACAUCUCGGCCACAGAUUCCCUAGCCUUGAUCUAUGCAUGACAACAGAGGUGGAGAACCUCCAAUCCACAGGCCUAAUUUAGCCCAGCAUGGAUCCCAAUUUGGCCCACAAGGCCAUUUCCCCCAAACCAUUCCCAACUGCCACACAUUGUGACUUCACAUGUGACAUUAGCUGUGGGGUAGGUAGAGAUGCAGCUAGCUCUUUGACCAAGUUCCCCUGUAGAAAGCAGGAUUGAAGUCAUCUGGGUUAGAGGACCAUGCGCCCAAUCCCCUCUCCACAAUACUGUUCCUCAUCCCUUAUCAGAACAUUUAAUCAAAGGACACCCAGUAAGGACACCCAGUAACCAUCAUAGCUGAACAGGGACUUGAACCCAGAUUUCCUCAGUGGAUGCUUUCCAUUCCACCCACUACAUCAUCCAGGCUCUCAUAAGCAAUGUGUGUGUUUGUCUACACAAUGUGGAUCCUGUUUGGGAGAAGCCAAAUUACUAGAGCAUAGUAACAUUAGAAGCCAUUGAUGAGAUUGCUCAGAAUUUGCACCUAAACCUGCAGUGCUGCGUUUUAAAUUUUUUAGAUGUCAUGCAUGCUGUUUUCUAAAACCUUGUUCUUCAUUUAAAAGCAAAGACAUGUUUCAUGAAGGAUUAUCCAAAGUCUUCCCCUGCCCUUUCAUAACUCCUUAUUGUGUAAGAACAUUCUCAAUCAUAGUUGAAUGGAACCAAAACAAUAGCCAAGCAGCUUGUUGGGCAUAGAUUUAGACAAAACAACUUUGCCAAAAUCUACUGGGAAUCUACUCUAGAGAGGGCAACCACCAUCCUUCCAGUUCUUGCCAGCACAAUUCUGCUGGCACUCAUGUUGGCUCUGAUUUGAACUCUUUGCACAGGCCUAUUGCCAUUUGCCUUGAAGUACUUGAAAACAAUUGGAACAGAUGGGAAGGGAGCAAGAUCUUCUCCUGACUGCUGCUCAGCCCUGCAAUUCCAUGCAACCAGGAUUGGGACAGUUUCAAAAACAGAGAAGGCAUAAACGGCACAUGGGGAAGAUGCUGUACAUAGUGUUGAAUAAUACAACAAUUGCCUCCAUUCACAGCUCCUUCACGUGCAAGAGACAUUUUGUUGGAUGAAUGGCCACAGAUGAGAUGGAAUGACAAGUUAUCUCUUUAUUGGGCAUGCCUGGUUCCUUCUCCCCCUCCUGCCGAGAGGAAAAUGUCCAUUGGAAAGCAGAAUGCAAAGGGCAAAUGAGGAUAAACAGUGAAUAACACACACACACACACACACACACACACACACACACACCCUUGGACAUCAUGCAGGCACCAGCAUUGCCAAACUAGGCUACUUAUCCUAGAUUAUGAGAUAGUUUAAUUGAAACAAGAUUGCAAGGCUUGCUUGGUCAAGUCAAUAUAUUUCUAGUUCACCAUUGUGUCUUAAUAACAGCCAGUCUGAUGCUUCUGGAUGCUCAGAAGCAGAACAUGAAUGUGAUAGUCUUCCUGCUAUUUGCCCCUGGGAACCUGGCAUUUAGAGGUAGACUGCCCCUGUACAUGAGAGUUUCAUUCAGCCAUCGCUGCUCUUGGCUAAAGGAAAACUCCCCCACUAAUAUGGCUGUGUAAGUGAGAGAGAGAGGGAGAGGGAGAGGGAGAGGGAGAGAGAAACCAAACCAAAAAAGAAACAUUGCUUCUCUGUUUUAAAGGUUCUGAGAAAGAACUCCCAAUGAAUUAUUCUAGAUUUAUGUCUAUCUUUCCCUCUAUAAAAAUAAGCUUAUUGGGUUAGCGCCAAUAAGGUAGGCUUUUAGUACACUUCAGCGGAGGCAGAGAGAGAAAAUACUUCUGUAAUGCAUUCUGUCACCUAUUUAAGAAGGAAAAUGGCUUGCCAAAUAUUCAUUGAUUCCUGUCUGUAUUUAUGCUUUUUAGUUCUGUACUAUUGCUUUUUAUUGGGAUCACUUUACUUCCCCUCCCUCCUGCCCUCCUAGUAAUCAGCAUCAGCCUUCGCUUCAGCACACUUCUCUUGGAAUAUUAUAUAUCUAUGUGGGUGUGAGCAAAACAUGGGGAUUUAUGUGUGUGUGCCCAACAGCCUUGUGGAAUUUUUUUUUAUUAUCGGAAACAGCUCAUGAACUGUGACGAUAACAGAGCCAAAGGGACAUAUUUCAACAAAAGUUUCAAACAUCAGAAGAGAAGGAGCCAUAUGUCAGUGGGGAGAGUGGGGGGCAAGAGUUGAUUUCAAUGCAGGAAGAGAUUUCAAAAAGUGAUGGCGCUGAAAUUAGGAAACAUGGAGCCUUCUAAUGGUCAAUUCUCCCCACCUGGCAGGAAAAGGAACCAAUUACAAGCCGUGCCAAAUUCCAAAUUUGAAGUCUGGCUUGCAUCUAAUUCACUGACCUUAUAUCCAGGGGCACUGCUACCACAAAUGUCAUCCCGCCUCACUUGCCUUUGGACAUUGCUCUCCUGAAUGCUGUAAAUGUCCAAGACACUAAGGGGGACUCUGGUGAAUGUAAUUCUCCUGGGUGUCUGAGUCCCCAAGUGUGACCGGUGGGUACCCAGGAAAUUACACUUCCCAGAGAUCUUUGCAUCACAUGUAUGGUGACCCACAGAAAGUCCUCCAGCCACACCUCUUCUCGUUGUCACCCCUACCAAGUAAGUGGGAAGGGGGCAGUGGGAAAUGUUUCACUGGGCUUCAUGGGCUCAUUUAUGUCAUUGGAGGUGUGACAGGGUCUAAAGUUUGGAACUGAGAUUUAAGGGGAAAGAGCCAUCUUCUAUUAAUAGCCUCUUUGAUUUUUGCUGAGGGGAAUGUGCCCAUCCCUCAUCAGUUUGCUUGGAUUGUGAUUACGUAUGGUGAAUUUAUGUAACACAACUGUGUGGGGCUUUUGUUUGUGUGUUAGUUUAGAUUGCCCUAUCCGGGUAAGGCCAAAACACUCAAGUGUGGAAUCAUGAGAGGUCUGUGGCCACCGUGGUCAGCAAGAGCAAGUCCCAAGCAAAACCCCACAGAACAAACAUUCCAUAUUUUCUCAGGCAUUAUUCUCUGCAGCUUUGGUAUAAAUAAACCAGCCUUCCUUCCUAUCAGAAAAGUUGCAUCCUAUCAGAUAUCAUAGGGGUGGGUGGCGAUUCAGCACUCCAAAGAUUCCCUUUGGCUCCCUACAGCCCAGCAACGAUUCCACACUGCAACAAUUCCAUUUAUGCUGGGGGGGGAGGGGAAUUAAGCAGCAGGUAUUUUCUACUAAGGUCAUUACUUUAAGUGAACCCCUAAGCAUGUCUGCUCAGAGGUUAAGUCCCACUGAGCUCAAUGAGCUUACUUUCAGGUAAGUAUGGGAUUGCAGGCACAAUCUCUCUGCUAAAGUUAUGCACAUCUUUUGCCAAGUUUGCCUGACAUUACUUCUAGAAAUCAUAUACCGCAGAGCUGGAUACACCAAUCUCCCAAAGCUUAAAAUGCCAUUUUCAUAAGUGCCUCAUCCAUCUGACGAUGUCACAUGUGGGAACAGCAGCACAGUCAACAUAGCAAUUCGCUGCAUAAAAAUGACUGCCUUUGACACAAUAUGAAGAGAAAAAAAUGUUAAUGAAACCAGCUCUAUAAACAACAUUUCUGAACACUGAAUGAAAGCUGUGGGCAAAUCACUCUUCCCGCCCUGCCCCCGGUGAUCUCUAUUUUAGGGAAAAUGUUGCAAUAAUUAAUAAUUAAUGUAUGCUGCAAAAGAACUGAAUAUUAGGACACACUUGAUUGCAUUAAAUUUUGACUUUCAUUUUGCAUAUCUAUUCAAUAACCAUUAACCAGAGCGAGGGGGAAGAAAUAUAAUAUGUUUAUAGUAAAUCAUUAAAAGUGAAGGGGGGAAAAACUACAGCAAGCCAGAACUUGCUACAUCUCUGGAGUUAAAAGCAGAUUUAAAAACACGAGACCCAUAAAAGGUGACUAGCACAGACCACGUUGCUUGAGAGCAGGGGUAGGCAACCUAAGGCCCAUGGGCCGGAUGCGGCCCAAUUGCCUUCUCAAUCCGGCCCACAGAUGGUCCAAGAAUCAGCGUGUUUUUACAUGAGUAGAAUGUGUGCUUUUAUUUAAAAUGCAUCUCUGGGUUAUUUGUGGGGCAUAAGAAUUCGUUCAUUUUUUUUUUUUUCAAAAUAUAGUCUGGCCCACCACAUGGUCUGAGGGAUGGUCGACCGGCCCACAGCUGAAAAAGGUUGCUGACCCCUGCUUUAGAGAAAGAAUGAGCACAGCUGUGUGAGAGACAAAGCUUUAGUUUUGGGCAGAGACAGCAUAAAAAGGCUGACUCCAACCCCUCUCCUAUUGGGCUUUGCAGCCCAUGUGGCUCUUCACUCCAACCCCCUCCCAUCAGAGGUGAGUUUCUCCCAGCCCACCUUAGCAAGGAGGCGUAGGAUGGAGGCAAAUUCCCACCCCAACCUACAAGCAGGAAUGGCUUUGUCAGAGAUGGCGCCCCAACUACAAACAUAAUGCAUGACUUGGCCCUUGAAUACUGAAGGCUUAUGCUUUAACAGCUAUGAGGAAGCUUAGAGAAGCACAGCCUUCUGUCAUAUAAUAUUCACAUCUUUUUGACAGUGUGCAGUAGUAAUAACCAAGGAGUGCAUGUCCCUUAGACUACGAAAAAGUGGAAAUAUUGAGCUACAAAGAAAACAACAACACUAUGCAUGCUUAUGGCAUUGUUUAUUCUAUUUUAAUAAUUAUUCACCAUAUAAUACGGUCUUUAGGGGCAAUGAGUAAGAAAGUUUCCCCACCCACAGCCAGCAAUGAGGGAAAUCAGGAACAUCAGUAAAAGACCAUCUCCAUGAUCAUAUUUAAUGCAGACUACCUUGCUUUAUUUUACAGAGUGUAAUGAUGAUUUCUAUUACAGAAAAGUAGUGCUGUAACAAAAGCAAUUACAUAGCUUAACUGGUUAGGAUUUUGUAAUUUGUUUUUCUUUAGCCUCCCAGUUCCCUUAAUUUUUUAUUGUUCUACAUUCAGACAUAAUUCUGUAACUGAUUUAUUGCAAUUUCUUCUUUAUUUUUUUUGCCAUGGGAGAAGAUUCAUUAUUCAUCCACUUUACCCAUUCAGGAAACUCUCCCACAUACUCAUUAAUUUGAUAAGUAGAUGACUUUCCUGUGCCAAGAAACUAGCCUCGCAAACACUCCGCAGCCACUGCCUGCUUUAAUCCUGCGGGAAAAGCAAAUGACGCGCAAUAAACCAUUUUUGUAUAAUCAAAUAUUGAUUAAGUUAAUGAAAAAUUUGACAAGUCUGUUUUUGAUGGCAUUAGAAUUAUUAGCACCUGUUUCACUGGGCUGAGGUUUGGGUCCUCCCUCCCUUGUUGUUAAAAUUAAGUUUUAUUUUUCCAAAACAUUUGAAAAUGGAGGGAGAACUGAAUUCAUCUAAGCCAGGGCUGGGGGGAACGGACACUUUUCAGACCAAGGGCCACAUUGUCUGUGGGUAACCCCAUCUGGGGGCCACAUGCCAGAGUCAAGAGUGAGCAGAGCAGCACAUGCAAAUUUUACCUUGGUAUAGUAGGCCAGUUUCUAUACAAACUCACAUUUCCCUCUCUAUUCCCCCCCAUCUAGGCAAGCAAGAAGCAUUUUCAGAAUUCAAGGACACAUUUUAGCCAAGUAAAAACACUCCAGUAGAGUGUGAAGUAGCAGCUGAAGAGGGAAUGUAACCUGAGGGAGAGUCUCGGGAGCCAGAUGAAGAGGCCUGGAGGGCUAAAUUGGGCCUCUGAUCCUGAAGUUCCCUGCCCCAAUCUAAACUUUAAAAUGUUCAUUUUAUUCAAGUGCGUAUCACUUAUAAAAGUCUAUUCAGAAAAAAAAUUCCCAACGAGUUCCGUGGGGCUUACUCUCAGGUACAUGGGUAGAAGACUGUAGCCUGUACAAUGCUUUCUAAGAUGCUUUCUAAGGUUUGGAUGCUCAAAGAACCACCAGAGGAGGAGACAGGAGCAGCUCAUCUAUUUACUGUGUAACCAGCAUCUACCUUAUGAAGAGAUUAUAUACCAGGGUCUAUUUUAGGACAUGUUUCAGAUGAUGGGAGAUCUACGUGGCAGUGCCAUUGGGUGGUAGACCCACUGAGGUGAAAACAUCUACCUUUGUUAUGGUUGUUAAUUUCACUGGGUUUGCUCUGUGUAAAACCUAGUUGAAUGUUGUUGUUUAGUCAUUUAGUCGUGUCCGACUCUUCAUGACCCCAUGGACCAGAGCACGCCAGGCACUCCUGUCUUCCACUGCCUCCAGCAGUUUGGUCAAACUCAUGCUGGUAGCUUCAAGAACACUGUUCAACCAUCUCGUCCUCUGUCGUCCCCUUCUCCUUGUGCCCUCCAUCUUUCCCAACAUCAGGGAGUCUUCUCAUGAGGUGGCCAAAGUACUGUAUCGGAGCUUCAGCUUCAGGAUCUGUCCUUCCAGUGAGCACUCAGGGCUGAUUUCUUUAAGAAUGGAUAGGUUUGAUCUUCUUGCAGUCCAUGUGACCCUCAAGAGUCUCCUCCAGCACCAUAAUUCAAAAGCAUCAAUUCUUCUUCAAAAGCGACCAGUCUUCUUCAGUCAACCUAGUUGAAUACCACCCAAAAUAUCUAUACAGGAGCAGCCCAGUAAAGGACCCCUGGACGGUUAAGUCCAGUCAAAGGUGACUAUGGGGUUGCGGCACUCAUCUUGCUUUUCAGCACAAGGGAGCUGGUAUUUGUCCACAGACAACUUUCUGGGUUACGUGGCCAGCAUGACUAAACUACUUCUGGCGCAACGGGACACUGUGAUGGAAACCAGAGUGCACGGAAACUCCAUUUACCUUCCCACCACAGCGGUACCUAUUUAUCUACUUGCACUGGUAUGCUUUUGAACUGCUAGGUUGGCAGAAGCUGGGACAGAGCAACAGGAGCUCACCCCGUCGUGGGGAUUUGAACCACUGAUCUUUUGAUUGGCAAGCCCAAGAGGCUCAGUUAUUUAGACCAUAGUGCCAUCCUUCCCGGUACAAGAAGUACCAUUGGAACCUGCAGCAACAUUUGGAGUGCUCCUGGUCAGGAUUCCAAUCACUUACUCCAUUCCCCUCCUCAGUUUUCCAUGGCCUUCCCCACCCCUCCAUCCCCAAUUUGACCACAGUCAGACAGCUUUCCAUGACCACUGAGCAUGCUCAGUCCCCACUGAGCUACACUGGGUUUUUCUAAUAUUAUUAUUUAUUUGAAAUAAAAGAAGACAUAGGAAUAAUCUCAUGGGAUGUUCCUCUGUGUGAAUCCAAUUGAAAUGUACAGGAGCUGUGAAAGAAAGGAAUCUGGUAGGGCUCUUGUGCAGCAACCAUUCAUAUUCACAAAUAAGCCUUGCUGGGGAGGAUCCUCUUCCUAGUGCUUUUUAUUUUUGAGUUGAAGUGGGAGUGAACUAAACCUUAAAAGAAGUAGAAAAUGUACAAGCGCUAUUCUGGAAUUUCCAAAGACAGCAAUUUUUCAAAGUGAUCUCUAGGUGGCUGCUUAGUGUGAUACCACUCUUCUGCCCACAUGCUGCCACACUAACAGCUAUUUCGGCCAACAUCUGGGGUUUCAUUGAGUACCUACAGUACACAAAGGCACUGCCCCCAAACUGAGUUAUCUGUAAUGCAGCACUCCCCAAAGCUCAUUACAUUCCUCUCCUGAUAUUGCUGUCCUUAUCAUUGAGUCACUGAUAAAUUGUAUCAAGCUAAAUUGAGUUUUUAUCAUAUUUAAUUUUAUUUUGAGAUAAUUCCUUUUACAGCAAACUUUAUCUUGAUAGAACACUUCUUUAUCAAGUGGAGCAGAACAAUUAGAGCCUAUCUCCUUAGCUCAUCGGGCAACCAGGAACUUCAGAAGGCCUAAGGUAGUUUAAAAUCCUUGGCUCCGUGAUGGGGGGGUGCUCUUACCAUAAUGGGACAUUGAUUUUAGCUCCAGCUGGAUAUACUGCUGCUGAAAAGAGCGCUAGAAUGGUAAUAUUUAAAGAGUGGGAGGUUUUGGUUAGCAGAGAUAUAUAAGCAGGUUUGAGCAACCUGUGGCCUUCCAGAUGUUGUUGAAUUCUAAUUCCCACCAGCCUCAGCCAACAUAACCAAUGGUCAAUGAAGAACGACAUUUGGAAAGACCCAACCUGUCAAUCUCCCAAUAAAGUUAUUGCUGCUAGUUUUCCGUAUUCAUUUUGUGCCAGUGUUAGCCCUUUUCAGUCAUUUGAGUACAUGUACGAGUGCUUAAGCUGGAAAGGGGGUGCACAUGCAAGCCUCACCCGCAAUAUCACACACAUGUCUGGCUCUACCUCAGACCAAGACUUCUAGCUACAUUUGGCUGGACACACUUAGAAGCCUUCCUGUGGUUGGGAUCCCUUCAUGCCCCUGGAACCUCUACAUUUGGUAGAAAUGUGAAAUGGUUUCCACACACUUCCUAUGAAUGCACACCUGAAGGAGUGGGGAUGUGGCUUGUAGGUGUAUGCAACUUGGAUCUCCAGCAGAGAGUCUCUGGUGGUUUACCUCACACAACACCAACCUCACUGUCACCUUGUCCCUCCCUCUCUAUCUCCCAGUAAGGAGCAGUGACAAGAUCAGCUGGAGGUCAGAGCACUGCUGCCCAAACUACACCAUCUGCUGCUGUGUCUUUUAGGGCCUAGGGUUGCCAUGUGCCUUCUUUUUCCAGGACACAUCCUCUUUUUUAGAGAUAACUUUUCUGUCCGGGUGGAUUUUUUAAAAUUUGCCAAAAUUUGCUAUACUUUCUGGAUGAGACAUACCUGUAGACAUAACUGGUGGUUGAAGACUUGCUUUCCUCUUCUCUUCUCCUGUCUCCCUCAGCAAUAAAUCACAGCUUCUAUAGCCUUCAUAUAGUA